rnacentral:miRNA from 14 species
ACAUUGUGUUCACCGCGUGUGUGUGUGUGUGUGUGUCUACACGGGCCCGACACACACACACACACACACGCGUCCG